rnacentral:rRNA from 1 species
AGAGUUUGAUCCUGGCUCAGGAUGAACGCUGGCGGUCUGCUUAACACAUGCAAGUCGAACGGUGUCUUCGGACACAGUGGCGGACGGGUGAGUAACACGUGAGAACCUGCCUUAAGGUCGGGGAUAACAGUUGGAAACGACUGCUAAUACCGGAUGUGCCUACGGGUGAAAGAUUUAUUGCCUGAAGAUGGGCUCGCGUCUGAUUAGCUAGUUGGAGUGGUAACGGCACACCAAGGCGACGAUCAGUAGCUGGUCUGAGAGGAUGAUCAGCCACACUGGGACUGAGACACGGCCCAGACUCCUACGGGAGGCAGCAGUGGGGAAUUUUCCGCAAUGGGCGAAAGCCUGACGGAGCAAGACCGCGUGAGGGAGGAAGGCUCUUGGGUUGUAAACCUCUUUUGUCAGGGAAGAACACAAUGACGGUACCUGACGAAUCAGCAUCGGCUAACUCCGUGCCAGCAGCCGCGGUAAUACGGAGGAUGCAAGCGUUAUCCGGAAUUAUUGGGCGUAAAGCGUCCGCAGGUGGUUGUACAAGUCUGCUGUCAAAGCGCGGAGCUUAACUCCGUAAAGGCGGUGGAAACUGUGCGACUAGAGUUCGGUAGGGGUCGCGGGAAUUCCCAGUGUAGCGGUGAAAUGCGUAGAUAUUGGGAAGAACACCGGUGGCGAAAGCGCGCGACUGGACCGAGACUGACACUCAUGGACGAAAGCUAGGGGAGCGAAAGGGAUUAGAUACCCCUGUAGUCCUAGCCGUAAACGAUGGGUACUAGGUGUUGCCCGUAUCGACCCGGGCAGUGCCGUAGCUAACGCGUUAAGUACCCCGCCUGGGGAGUACGCACGCAAGUGUGAAACUCAAAGGAAUUGACGGGGGCCCGCACAAGCGGUGGAGUAUGUGGUUUAAUUCGAUGCAACGCGAAGAACCUUACCAGGGCUUGACAUGUCGCGAAUCCUUGUGAAAGCAGGGAGUGCCUUCGGGAGCGCGAACACAGGUGGUGCAUGGCUGCCGUCAGCUCGUGUCGUGAGAUGUUGGGUUAAGUCCCGCAACGAGCGCAACCCUCGUCGUUAGUUGCCAGCAUUUAGUUGGGCACUCUGACGAGACUGCCGGUGACAAACCGGAGGAAGGUGGGGAUGACGUCAAGUCAGCAUGCCCCUUACGCCCUGGGCUACACACGUACUACAAUGCUUCGGACAAAGGGUUGCAAGUCGGCGACGACAAGCUAAUCUCGUAAACCGAGGCUCAGUUCAGAUUGCAGGCUGCAACUCGCCUGCAUGAAGGCGGAAUCGCUAGUAAUCGCAGGUCAGCAUACUGCGGUGAAUACGUUCCCGGGCCUUGUACACACCGCCCGUCACACCAUGGAAGUUGGCCACGCCCGAAGUCGUUACUCCAACCGUAAGGAGGAGGACGCCGAAGGCAGGGCUGAUGACUGGGGUGAAGUCGUAACAAGGUAGCCG